rnacentral:rRNA from 1 species
UACGUAGGGGGCAAGCGUUGUCCGGAAUCAUUGGGCGUAAAGAGCGUGUAGGCGGCCCGAUAAGUCCGCUGUGAAAGUCCAGGGCUCAACCCUGGGAUGCCGGUGGAUACUGUCGGGCUCGAGUCCGGAAGAGGAGUGCGGAAUUCCUGGUGUAGCGGUGAAAUGCGCAGAUAUCAGGAGGAACACCGGUGGCGAAGGCGGAUCUCUGGGCCAUUACUGACGCUGAGGAGCGAAAGCGUGGGGAGCGAACAGG